UGAUGCUUUCCGGUAUAUGUCAAGCCUUGGUAAGGUUCUUCGCGUUGCGUCGAAUUAAGCCACAUGCUCCGCUGCUUGUGCGGGCCCCCGUCAAUUCCUUUGAGUUUUAGCCUUGCGGCCGUACUCCCCAGGCGGGGUGCUUAAUGCGUUAGCUUCGGCACGGAACGGGUUGAUACGCCCCACACCUAGCACCCAUCGUUUACGGCUGGGACUAC
rnacentral:misc_RNA from 1 species